CAUCUCCGGAGGUGGUGGUGCCAGCUUCUCAUUGAGAACUAUGAGAUUGAAGGAUAUGGCAAAAGAUUUUCGCAUACUGAAGGCGCUGGAGAGUUCACGGAACUGACGCCCAUAUUCCGCGUGCCAAGGAAACGCCACCUUCCUCCAGAGGAACAUUCAUACGACAAAAAACCAAAGCCUGACACGGAGGAGGGUGGACUUUUGGAG